AGACAGCGAUGACAUUUGCUCUCACAGCAGA
rnacentral:piRNA from 1 species